UGAUGAUGAUGAUGAUGAUGAUGAUGAUGAUGAUGAUGAUGAUGAUGAUGAUGAUAUUAUCAUUAGCAUCUGCGAUCACUACCACCACAACAA
rnacentral:miRNA from 1 species